AUAUAUAUAUAGUUCGACUAUAAUACUAUCAACAGCACAAAGCAUUUUGUGCUAUUAAGUUUUUCAUCGUUAAGUCUACCCCUUUAACCAUUUUCACCUCUUAAAUCAUACUAUUCAACUAACCAUCUACUAAAUCUUAGAGGUUCACUAUCAUCCUAACCGCACAUCCCUUCAUUCAAAUACCAAAAAACUAAUAGCAUUAAGAUUUGGUGCUAUUAAUAGUAUUUUAGCCUAAUUCUACAACAUAUAUAU
rnacentral:lncRNA from 1 species